UAGAAUCGGCAGAUCCACCUAUGAUUGCAUCGGCGGAAAUUCCAGCUGCACCAACCCUUCCGGUUGCUGAAGAAGUCGACCUUCAAGCCGCUACAGAAGCCGGAACAGCCGUCGCGUCAUUAUUGGUGGAAGCUAUACAGGUAAACUCACCGUCCGAUUUUUCUUGACCGCCAUUUCAAUACUGACCUUUCUUAUAUUAGGAUGCACAGACUGUCCUAGUAAAUCCUCAGCAAUCGGC
rnacentral:lncRNA from 1 species